rnacentral:rRNA from 1 species
CGAGUGGCGCACGGGUGCGUAACGCGUAUGUAAUCUGCCCUUGACCGGAACAAAACAGCUGGAAACGGCUGCUAAUAUUCCAUGGUCAUUUUCGGAGGCAUCUCUGGGGAUGUAAAGAUUUAUUGGUCAAGGAUGAGCAUGCGUAUUAUUAGAUAGUUGGUGGGGUAACGGCCCACCAAGUCGACGAUGAUUAGGGGUUCUGAGAGGAUUAACCCCCACACUGGAACUGAGACACAGUCCAGACUCCUACGGGAGGCAGCAGUAGGGAAUAUUGGGCAAUGGAAGGAAUACUGACCCAGCCAUGCCGCGUGAACGAAGACGGUCCUAUGGAUUGUAAACUUCUUUUAUCGCGAAGUGGAGGGGGGGCACGUGUGCCCCGGUAAAAAAAAACGUUUUUUAGGUAUCGGCUGGGUCCGAACACGCUGCCGCGGUGGUUCGGCGGCUGCGCGCGUUUUCCGGUUUUUUUGGGUUUGUUGGGUGCGCUGGCGGGUCGGUGUGUCUGGGGUGUGGUGUUCGUGCUUGGCGUGUUUCUUCCCUUUUUUUCUCCCUCNCUNNNNUCCUCUCUCCCUCCCCCCCCUCUUUUUUCUUUCUCUCUUUUNCUUUUCUUUUGGACUUUCUCCUUUCNUNUNNUCNUCUCACGAGUUUGCAACUGACGCUCAUGCACGAAAGCGUGGGGAUCAAACAGGAUUAGAUACCCUGGUAGUCCACGCUGUAAACGAUGAUCACUCGUUGUUGGCCGGCGACGGUCAGUGGCCAAGCGAAAGCGAUAAGUGAUCCACCUGGGGAGUACGAUCGCAAGGUUGAAACUCAAAGGAAUUGACGGGGGCCCGCACAAGCGGAGGAGCAUGUGGUUUAAUUCGAUGUUACGCGAGGAACCUUACCCGGGCUUGAACGUAAGACGACGACGCAGGAGACUGCGUUUCCUUCGGGCGUUUUGCGAGGUGCUGCAUGGUUGUCGUCAGCUCGUGCCGUGAGGUGUUAGGUUAAGUCCUGCAACGAGCGCAACCCUUACUUUUAGUUGCCAGCAUGUAAAGAUGGGGACUCU